rnacentral:rRNA from 1 species
UUUGAUCCUGGCUCAGGGAUGAACGCUAGCGACAGNGCCUAACACAUGCAAGUCGAGGGGUAACAUGAGUAGCUUGCUACUUGAUGACGACCGGCGCACGGGUGAGUAACGCGUAUGCAACCUUUCUUCAACAGGAGAAUAGCCCCCGGAAACGGGGAUUAAUGCUCCAUGAUGCUAUUUUAUUGCAUGAUAGAAUAGUUAAAGCUGAGGCGGUUGAAGGUGGGCAUGCGUGACAUUAGCUUGUUGGCGGGGUAACGGCCCACCAAGGCGACGAUGUCUAGGGGUUCUGAGAGGAAGGUCCCCCACACUGGUACUGAGACACGGACCAGACUCCUACGGGAGGCAGCAGUGAGGAAUAUUGGUCAAUGGACGCAAGUCUGAACCAGCCAUGUCGCGUGCAGGAAGACGGCCCUACGGGUUGUAAACUGCUUUUGUACGGGAAGAAAAUGUCUUACGUGUAAGACUUUGCCGGUACCGUACGAAUAAGCAUCGGCUAACUCCGUGCCAGCCGCCGCGGUAAUACA